CUACUUACCUGGACGGGGUCAACGGGCGAUCAAGAAGGGCCCGUGGCCUAGGCCAAUGCCCCACAUUGCACUUGGUGGGCGCGUUGGCUUACCAUCUCCCCAAGUGGGAGAGUGGACGUCAUAAUUUGUGAUAGAGGGGGUACGCGUUCGCGCGGCCCCUGC
rnacentral:snRNA from 1 species